CAGGGAAUCUUCCGCAAUGGGCGAAAGCCUGACGGAGCGACACAGCGUGCAGGAAUGAAGGUCUUCGGACUGUAAACUGCUUUUAUUAAGGACGAUUAUGACGGUACUUGAUGAAUAAGGGCCGGCUAACUACGUGCCAGCAGCCGCGGUAAGACGUAGGGCCCGAGCGUUACCCGGAUUUACUGGGCGUAAAGAGUGCGUAGGCGGUCUGUUAAGCGGGAUGUGAAAUUCCGGGGCUCAACUCCGGAACUAUGUCCCGAACUGGCAGACUAGAGUACUGAAGAGGCAGGCGGAAUUCCCGGUGUAGGGGUGAAAUCCGUAGAUAUCGGGAGGAACACCAAUGGCGAAGGCAGCCUGCUGGGCAGUAACUGACGCUGAGGCACGAAAGCGUGGGGAGCGAACGG
rnacentral:rRNA from 1 species